ACUUACUAUCAGAUUUCGACAUAAACCUAUUCGCGUAUAUAAUAGAAUUUAUAGGCCUUAAAAGGAGCUUUUGCAUUUUAUUUUACCUUUUAAUAUUUCCGUGAUCCGUGAUAUAUAGCGCAUAUGCCCUCUGACGUUGAAUAAACAACAAAGCUACGCUAGGAGCGAUUUCAAUUUUGCAGCGAUUUUCAUUAUAGUGCAGUGCAAAGCGUUAUUAAUUCAAAAUGGUAUCCAUCCUCAAAUUAUUAUUUUUUUACAGAAUGAUCUUGAAGAGGAGAAGAUUAAACCAUCUUAAUAUUAAUAAACCAAAAGAGGGCGAAUUUAAUGUCCUCUUUCCUAAACUAUUAAAAAAUGAGCCUAAAUUUUUCAGACUAAAGAAACCUUUUAUUAUAUACUCAAACUUGUAAAACCUUUAUUACAUACCAAAUGUACCAAUUUUAUAAAACAUCCUAUGUGCUGAAGAAUAUGGUUUGUUUAAGGUAUUUAGCAACAUAAGGUUCAUGUAGUAUUAAAUCAACACUGCUAUUCUGAUUCAUUCCAUGAUUAUGCUUAUAUUUAUAUAAAAAUCCAGAUUUUUAUAAAUUUAAUCAUAUCUUAUU